AGCGAACGCUGGCGGCAGGCCUAACACAUGCAAGUCGAACGAACCCUUCGGGGUUAGUGGCGGACGGGUGAGUAACACGUGGGAACGUGCCUUUAGGUUCGGAAUAACUCAGGGAAACUUGUGCUAAUACCGAAUGUGCCCUUCGGGGGAAAGAUUUGUCGCCUUUAGAGCGGCCCGCGUCUGAUUAGCUAGUUGGUGAGGUAAUGGCCCACCAAGGCUACGAUCAGUAGCUGGUCUGAGAGGAUGACCAGCCACAUUGGGACUGAGACACGGCCCAAACUCCUACGGGAGGCAGCAGUGGGGAAUCUUGCGCAAUGGGCGAAAGCCUGACGCAGCCAUGCCGCGUGGAUGAUGAAGGUCUUAGGAUUGUAAAAUCCUUUCACCGGUGAAGAUAAUGACUGUAGCCGGAGAAGAAGCCCCGGCUAACUUCGUGUCAGCAGCCGCGGUAAGAC
rnacentral:rRNA from 1 species